rnacentral:rRNA from 1 species
UACGUAGGAAGCAAGCGUUGUCCGGAAUUACUGGGCGUAAAGGGCGCGUAGGCGGCCUUCUAAGUCGAACGUGAAAUCCCCGGGCUCAACCCGGGAACUGCGUCCGAUACUGGAAGGCUUGAAUCCGGGAGAGGGAUGUGGAAUUCCAGGUGUAGCGGUGAAAUGCGUAGAUAUCUGGAGGAACACCGGCGGCGAAGGCGACAUCCUGGACCGGUAUUGACGCUGAGGCGCGAAAGCCAGGGGAGCAAACGGG